AUUUUACUUAUAUUUACCGAACUAUUUGACACGGUCGCGUCAACUGUGUUUACGAGUGUCUUGUGUUCAGAUUGUUUUAAGUGAUAAUUUAACAAUAUUUUUCCAAAUAAAUGGAAAGAAACUUUUAUUUAUAUCAAAUAAUUGAGUGUCUCGACUGUGUGACAUUAUGUCUUGUGUGGUAUGGGGCUGCAGCUCACAUUCAGGAAGAAAAGAAAAUAGCCAACAACUUCUGUCGUUUCAUCGAUAUUAAAUCCAAAAGUGUCGACUGGAUUUACAUGAAAAGUCAGUUCAAGAAGACGAGAUGAAAAAUUUAAAAGAAAAGCUGAACAAGUCCCGCCUCAAGAUCAAACGACUUAAUGAAAAAAAAAAACAAUGUGACAGGGUGUCACAAAGACAGUUUCUAAGCAAAUUGACACUGUUUAGAAAUUAAUAAAUUUGUAUUUAUUGUAAAUAUAAUGUACAUAAUUAAUAACGUGUGAAAUAAAUACUUGCUAAUGAACAGA